UUGUAUGUAUAGGUGUUGAAGUCAAAGACUUGCUUUCCAAAAUGCAACAUAGCCAUUUGUAGACAAUUCAACAUUGUGCAUAAUAAAAUAUACAUGUAUGAUCAAGUACCGGUAGCUUUUUUUUGAUAAAAUCAAUCAGUUUGUUUUUAUAAUACGUUUAGCUGCCUCAUUGUUAUGGCCUAAUUUCAUCCUCAUUAUCAGGUGAAAUCCAUUGUUUCAAAUUGUAUACUACCUCAAUCUGCUGAAAUGUUCUUUUUGUGGCAUUUGUUCAUGGAGGGUUAAUCACUGGCUAAAUCUUGCAAAAUGCAAGAGUGACAAGUUAUGCAAACUGUAGCAUCAAGAAUUAUAUACAUGCCUUAAAUUUUUAGAUGUAAUUUGAGGUAAUGACAAAUUGUAAUACAUGAACUUGAAUUGGUUGUCAUCGGCGAUACUGAUCAAUUAGAGAAAUGAAGGUACUUGUGUUGAACUAAUUACUACAGUUUCAAUGAUUAGGGUAAUUUGUUUUUUGUCAAGGUUGUCUUUCAAACAGAAAUCGUGUGCAAUAUCCAAGGUAAUUUUAAAUACUCAUGCAAGUAUGAUGCAUUUGUUUUUGUAGGUAAAGUUCAUCUCUGACGAUUAUACUGAAGAGAUGUACAUAACGCAGAAGAUGCAGUGAGUUUAUUGAUGGUUUCUGUGCUUGGCCAAGUUACAGUGCCGUCAUCCAGCCUUCAAGCAUGGUUCAGAAGCCAUGAACCACAAAUCAGCAUGUUUCCUUCCAGUUUCCAAUGAGCACUCUGACAGCAUCACUUAGCAUGCCAGUAUUCAACAUUGUGCAGAUCAUCUCUGUAAAGAUGGCUGUGUUGCUUCAGUUGCCACAUCUCUACGUAUGUUCUUCCUGUUAGCAAAGGCACACUGUGACAGCAUAUACUUUCUACAUGCUAAUACAUGCACAGUAUUGUUCAGGGAAAGACAUAUGCAAACCUAUCAGCUUCCAAAGUCGGCAACAUCCUGCUGUCACUACAGUCUCAGCACCUACCAGCUCCCACUCUGUCAGCAACAUCCUGCUGUCACAUGUCCAGCUACUGGUACUUGAAGUUACUGUGUGCUUGUACAUUCUCAGCACCUACUAGCUCUCACUCUGUCAGCAACAUCCUGCUGUCACAUGUCCAGCUAUUGGUACUCGGAGUUACUAUUUGCUUGUACUUUCUCAGCACCUACCAGCUCCCACUCUGUCAGCAACAUCCUGUCCAGCUACCGGCACUUGGAGUUAUUGUGUGCUUGUACAUUCUCAGCACCUACUAGUUCCCACUCUGUCAGCAACAUCCUGCUGUCACACCUCCAGAUAUGUGGAGUUAUUGUGCUUUUACAGUCUCAGCCAGUAUUGGAUUGCAAGUUGUCUUAUGCUGCUACAACCUACACAUUUAGCAUUCUCUUGAACCUUGAGGAACCACCAUAUGAACAAAGAGACUCUGAAACACUCAUAAUAAACCUGUCACGGUGGUUUGUUGAACAUUCGUAUUAUUUGGAGGACUUGCAAUUAGCUCAUAUAGUCAACUAGCUAUUCCAGUCCUCUGGAAGAGUUAGUUGGCUGCUUGAGGUUAUUCUAUACUAGUAGCAUGCCUUUUUUGUGCACGGUCAAGAGUAGAUCGAGAAAGCAGUUGUUUUUAAGGGCAAAACAAUUGUUCUUGUUCCUUGAAAAAGUUGGUCAAAACAUUUUCCCAACCAAUUUUUUUAUUUAAACAGUAAGAUAAAGGGCAACAAGGACUGUUUAAUGCCAUUUCUACUUGGUAGAAAAACAAUUCAAUGCUAAUUUUUAUCCAAGAUAUUCAAAGCUUUGGUGUUAUUGGCAAAGAGAGUACCCACAAGAGUGGUUGUGACAUGUACAUGCAAUACUGUUUGCAAUGAUUAUGCUAUUAUUAUGAUAAAAAUCGUGCAAAGUACGGCGUUAAAAUGGGCUUUCUCCUUGUACAUAGCACAAUACAUAAGUGAUUGUGAUCAUAAAUGUAUUGAAUUACAUAAAAUAUGAUUGUGGAUAAAUAUUUGGUAAUUUUGGGGAGGGGUGAGUGUAGGGGGGGGGGGGAGGGAGGGAGCAUAUUAAUGCCGGUGCAUACUUUGUCUGAUUGCUAUGAAAAUGUGAUAUUAUCAAGCAUUGGCUGAUUCAUGUUCGCACCAAGUAUGCCAGUGUCAUGGUCUCACUUAUCAGGUGUGCGCACUUCUCCAAAAGGGACAUUUAACUUCAAUACGCACGUGCAAAAUUGUGCUGCGGCUGUACAUUAUCGCCAACCUUAUUGCGUGUGCUCACUGCACUGUGUUUGUGAAGAAGUGAGCACAUUAUAAGUAAGACUGUGACACUGGCUAAGCUAUGAAUUGCUACCGAGAUAAUUGCCUACUUUUGCGUCAUUUCGUCUAUGUUAAUUUAAGUAUUUGUUUACAAUAUCAUUUAUAGAUUAAACUCAUUAAAGAGACACUGCAGCCUGGCAAAUGCGCAAUUGGGCUACAAAAUGCAUUUUGAGUCGAAUGGUGUUAAGUGCUUGGGAUAUAAACAACUACACAAACAUCCAUUGAAAAUCACCUGGGGGGGGGGCACUUUUGCAACCCUCAAAAUAUGUGUGUUCAGUGCUGGUUGAGAUUCCAGCUGUAAACGUUUCACCCUCUGCGCACAUCAACCGGAUGUUUCAAGCAAGAUAUCGUAAACAAUGCAAAACAUGACAUUUUCAAGGAUUUCAGGGAACAAUAAUUUAUGGAAUUUUGAGGAAACAUUUUUGCUAUUUUGUUUGGUAGAAUACUAUUGUUUUAUAUUAAAGAAAAUGCUUUCAUACAAAUAAAAAAAUUAUACAAA